UACGUAGGGUGCAAGCGUUAAUCGGAAUUACUGGGCGUAAAGGGCGUGUAGGCGGGAAUGUAAGUCGGGCGUGAAAUCCCUAGGCUCAACCUAGGAACUGCACGCGAAACUGCGUUUCUUGAGUGCCGGAGAGGAAAGCGGAAUUCCUGGUGUAGAGGUGAAAUUCGUAGAUAUCAGGAGGAACACCAGUGGCGAAGGCGGCUUUCUGGGCCUUACCUGACGCUGAGGAGCGAAAGCGUGGGUAGCGAACAGG
rnacentral:rRNA from 1 species